CCUACGGGAGGCAGCAGUGGGGAAUAUUGCACAAUGGGCGAAAGCCUGAUGCAGCGACGCCGCGUGAGCGAUGAAGGACUUCGGGUCGUAAAGCUCUGUCCUCAGGGAAGAUAAUGACGGUACUUGAUGAGGAAGCCCCGGCUAACUACGUGCCAGCAGCCGCGGUAAUACGUAGGGGGCUAGCGUUAUCCGGAUUUACUGGGGGUAAAGGGAGCGUAGCUGGAUCCCUAAGUCAGGGGUGAAAGGCUGCGGCUAACCCGUAGUAAGCCUUUGAAACUGGGACAAUUGAGUGCAGGAGAGGUGAGUGGAAUUCCUAGUGUAGCGGUGAAAUGCGUAGAUAUUAGGAGGAACACCAGUUGCGAAGGCGGCUCACUGGACUGUAACUGACACUGAGGCACGAAAGCGUGGGGAGCAAACAGGAUUAGAUACCCGAGUAGUC
rnacentral:rRNA from 1 species